UUAAGCGACUAAGCGUACACGGUGGAUGCCCUGGCAGUCAGAGGCGAUGAAGGACGUGCUAAUCUGCGAUAAGCGUCGGUAAGGUGAUAUGAACCGUUAUAACCGGCGAUUUCCGAAUGGGGAAACCCAGUGUGAUUCGUCACACUAUCAUUAACUGAAUCCAUAGGUUAAUGAGGCGAACCGGGGGAACUGAAACAUCUAAGUACCCCGAGGAAAAGAAAUCAACCGAGAUUCCCCCAGUAGCGGCGAGCGAACGGGGAGCAGCCCAGAGCCUGAAUCAGUGUGUGUGUUAGUGGAAGCGUCUGGAAAGGCGCGCGAUACAGGGUGACAGCCCCGUACACAAAAAUGCACAUGCUGUGAGCUCGAUGAGUAGGGCGGGACACGUGGUAUCCUGUCUGAAUAUGGGGGGACCAUCCUCCAAGGCUAAAUACUCCUGACUGACCGAUAGUGAACCAGUACCGUGAGGGAAAGGCGAAAAGAACCCCGGCGAGGGGAGUGAAAAAGAACCUGAAACCGUGUACGUACAAGCAGUGGGAGCACAGAGCAAUCUGUGUGACUGCGUACCUUUUGUAUAAUGGGUCAGCGACUUAUAUUCUGUAGCAAGGUUAACCGAAUAGGGGAGCCGAAGGGAAACCGAGUCUUAACUGGGCGUUAAGUUGCAGGGUAUAGACCCGAAACCCGGUGAUCUAGCCAUGGGCAGGUUGAAGGUUGGGUAACACUAACUGGAGGACCGAACCGACUAAUGUUGAAAAAUUAGCGGAUGACUUGUGGCUGGGGGUGAAAGGCCAAUCAAACCGGGAGAUAGCUGGUUCUCCCCGAAAGCUAUUUAGGUAGCGCCUCGUGAAUUCAUCUCCGGGGGUAGAGCACUGUUUCGGCAAGGGGGUCAUCCCGACUUACCAACCCGAUGCAAACUGCGAAUACCGGAGAAUGUUAUCACGGGAGACACACGGCGGGUGCUAACGUCCGUCGUGAAGAGGGAAACAACCCAGACCGCCAGCUAAGGUCCCAAAGUCAUGGUUAAGUGGGAAACGAUGUGGGAAGGCCCAGACAGCCAGGAUGUUGGCUUAGAAGCAGCCAUCAUUUAAAGAAAGCGUAAUAGCUCACUGGUCGAGUCGGCCUGCGCGGAAGAUGUAACGGGGCUAAACCAUGCACCGAAGCUGCGGCAGCGACGCUUAUGCGUUGUUGGGUAGGGGAGCGUUCUGUAAGCCUGUGAAGGUGUGCUGUGAGGCAUGCUGGAGGUAUCAGAAGUGCGAAUGCUGACAUAAGUAACGAUAAAGCGGGUGAAAAGCCCGCUCGCCGGAAGACCAAGGGUUCCUGUCCAACGUUAAUCGGGGCAGGGUGAGUCGACCCCUAAGGCGAGGCCGAAAGGCGUAGUCGAUGGGAAACAGGUUAAUAUUCCUGUACUUGGUGUUACUGCGAAGGGGGGACGGAGAAGGCUAUGUUGGCCGGGCGACGGUUGUCCCGGUUUAAGCGUGUAGGCUGGUUUUCCAGGCAAAUCCGGAAAAUCAAGGCUGAGGCGUGAUGACGAGGCACUACGGUGCUGAAGCAACAAAUGCCCUGCUUCCAGGAAAAGCCUCUAAGCAUCAGGUAACAUCAAAUCGUACCCCAAACCGACACAGGUGGUCAGGUAGAGAAUACCAAGGCGCUUGAGAGAACUCGGGUGAAGGAACUAGGCAAAAUGGUGCCGUAACUUCGGGAGAAGGCACGCUGAUAUGUAGGUGAAGUCCCUCGCGGAUGGAGCUGAAAUCAGUCGAAGAUACCAGCUGGCUGCAACUGUUUAUUAAAAACACAGCACUGUGCAAACACGAAAGUGGACGUAUACGGUGUGACGCCUGCCCGGUGCCGGAAGGUUAAUUGAUGGGGUCAGCGCAAGCGAAGCUCUUGAUCGAAGCCCCGGUAAACGGCGGCCGUAACUAUAACGGUCCUAAGGUAGCGAAAUUCCUUGUCGGGUAAGUUCCGACCUGCACGAAUGGCGUAAUGAUGGCCAGGCUGUCUCCACCCGAGACUCAGUGAAAUUGAACUCGCUGUGAAGAUGCAGUGUACCCGCGGCAAGACGGAAAGACCCCGUGAACCUUUACUAUAGCUUGACACUGAACAUUGAGCCUUGAUGUGUAGGAUAGGUGGGAGGCUUUGAAGUGUGGACGCCAGUCUGCAUGGAGCCGACCUUGAAAUACCACCCUUUAAUGUUUGAUGUUCUAACGUUGACCCGUAAUCCGGGUUGCGGACAGUGUCUGGUGGGUAGUUUGACUGGGGCGGUCUCCUCCUAAAGAGUAACGGAGGAGCACGAAGGUUGGCUAAUCCUGGUCGGACAUCAGGAGGUUAGUGCAAUGGCAUAAGCCAGCUUGACUGCGAGCGUGACGGCGCGAGCAGGUGCGAAAGCAGGUCAUAGUGAUCCGGUGGUUCUGAAUGGAAGGGCCAUCGCUCAACGGAUAAAAGGUACUCCGGGGAUAACAGGCUGAUACCGCCCAAGAGUUCAUAUCGACGGCGGUGUUUGGCACCUCGAUGUCGGCUCAUCACAUCCUGGGGCUGAAGUAGGUCCCAAGGGUAUGGCUGUUCGCCAUUUAAAGUGGUACGCGAGCUGGGUUUAGAACGUCGUGAGACAGUUCGGUCCCUAUCUGCCGUGGGCGCUGGAGAACUGAGGGGGGCUGCUCCUAGUACGAGAGGACCGGAGUGGACGCAUCACUGGUGUUCGGGUUGUCAUGCCAAUGGCACUGCCCGGUAGCUAAAUGCGGAAGAGAUAAGUGCUGAAAGCAUCUAAGCACGAAACUUGCCCCGAGAUGAGUUCUCCCUGACCCUUUAAGGGUCCUGAAGGAACGUUGAAGACGACGACGUUGAUAGGCCGGGUGUGUAAGCGCAGCGAUGCGUUGAGCUAACCGGUACUAAUGAACCGUGAGGCUUAACCU
rnacentral:rRNA from 1 species